rnacentral:rRNA from 1 species
GUAGGUGGCAAGCGUUGUCCGGAAUUAUUGGGCGUAAAGCGCGCGCAGGCGGUUCUUUAAGUCUGAUGUGAAAGCCCACGGCUCAACCGUGGAGGGUCAUUGGAAACUGGAGAACUUGAGUACAGAAGAGGAAAGCGGAAUUCCACGUGUAGCGGUGAAAUGCGUAGAGAUGUGGAGGAACACCAGUGGCGAAGGCGGCUUUCUGGUCUGUAACUGACGCUGAGGCGCGAAAGCGUGGGGAGCAAACAGGAUUAGAUACCCAGGUAGUCCACGCCGUAAACGAUGAGUGCUAAGUGUUAGGGGGUUUCCGCCCCCCUUAGUGCUGCAGCUAACGCAUUAAGCACUCCGCCUGGGAGUACGGCCGCAAGGCUG